CUAAACAGCUACUUUGCUAUUAAUAUUGUUAUAUAUAGCGUGCCCAAGUGUAUCUUUGGUUAUCAACAACACAAGCCCUCAACUAAUCAGCUAUCAGGGAUGAAGCCUACAAUGGUGGCACUGCUCAUUUUGAUGAACAUGAUGUGCACUAUUGGAUACUUUGAUCAUGCAAGUUUUCUUGGAACAAAGGCCCAAGAAACAUCCUUUCUGGCAAAUUCAUAUUCAACCCAUGAAGAAUCAGGUUCUACAAAGGGCAUAAAUAUUGGAAGGAAGCUGGCAGUGACGGACCGCAAGUGGCUUCCUAGAGAUGUCUGCUGCAAUAUAAUGUCCUUCAAUUCUUGCAAAGAGCAAUAUAAAUGUUAGAGAUAUAUGCUUGCAUUCCCAUUGCAUAUGGAGGAUGGAUAUCCUAUAUAUAUACACGGUAUGUUGCAUCAGCAGGUUCUUAAGUCCCUUGUAUCAUCUGGGUUUAGACCUAUCUAAAUAAUCUCCAGGGCCAUGAAAUGCCGUGUAGUAUUGUACUGUACUGAGCGCUUACGCUCAAUAUUAAACAAUAAAUUAAAA